UUUAUUCUCAGUCUUUUGUGGUCUAGUAUCUUGAACUCUUGCCUAUUCUAUGUCCUGCCGAGUUUGCUUGUUUCUCGAUCCGAUUCGUUCUCUUGCCGUCUCCAGUCUUCGGUUUGUUGCGAAUUGUAUGGGCUCGGUCCUUGUCUCUACGGUUUAGACUUGAUCGAGGUCUCUCUUUUGCAUUGGUGUCUUACUAGGCGUGAACCAAUCUUGGU
rnacentral:sRNA from 1 species